rnacentral:rRNA from 1 species
GAUGAACGCUGGCGGUGUGCCUAAUACAUGCAAGUCGAGCGACCAGACGAGGAGAUCGCUCCUCUAACGUUAGCGGCGGACGGGCGAGUAACACGUGGAUCACCUACCUCUAAGACUGGGAUAACUACGGGAAACCGGAGCUAAUACUGGCUAAUACAUUGAACCGCAUGGAUCAAUAGUGAAAGACGGUUUUGCUGUCUCAUAUAGACGGAUCCGCGCCGCAUUAGCUAGUUGGUAAGGUAACGGCUUACCAAGGCAACGAUGCGUAGCUGACCUGAGAGGGUGAUCAGCCACACUGGAACUGAGACACGGUCCAGACUCCUACGGGAGGCAGCAGUGGGGAAUCUUGCACAAUGGGCGAAAGCCUGACGGAGCAACGCCGCGUGGGUGAUGAAGGUCUUCGGAUCGUAAAGCUCUGUUGUUGGGGAAGAACAGAUGUGGAAGAAACUAUGCACGUCUUGACGGUACCUAAUCAGAAAGCCACGGCUAACUACGUG